CACUUGCUGUGAACUCGAAGAGUAGGGCGGGACACGUGGUAUCCUGUCUGAAUAUGGGGGGACCAUCCUCCAAGGCUAAAUACUCCUGACUGACCGAUAGUGAACCAGUACCGUGAGGGAAAGGCGAAAAGAACCCCGGCGAGGGGAGUGAAAAAGAACCUGAAACCGUGUACGUACAAGCAGUGGGAGCCUCUUUAUGGGGUGACUGCGUACCUUUUGUAUAAUGGGUCAGCGACUUAUAUUCUGUAGCAAGGUUAACCGUAUAGGGGAGCCGAAGGGAAACCGAGUCUUAACUGGGCGUUAAGUUGCAGGGUAUAGACCCGAAACCCGGUGAUCUAGCCAUGGGCAGGUUGAAGGUUGGGUAACACUAACUGGAGGACCGAACCGACUAAUGUUGAAAAAUUAGCGGAUGACCUGUGGCUGGGGGUGAAAGGCCAAUCAAACCGGGAGAUAGCUGGUUCUCCCCGAAAGCUAUUUAGGUAGCGCCUCGUGAACUCAUCUUCGGGGGUAGAGCACUGUUUCGGCUAGGGGGCCAUCCCGGCUUACCAACCCGAUGCAAACUACGAAUACCGAAGAAUGUUAUCACGGGAGACACACGGCGGGUGCUAACGUCCGUCGUGAAGAGGGAAACAACCCAGACCGCCAGCUAAGGUCCCAAAGUCAUGGUUAAGUGGGAAACGAUGUGGGAAGGCACAGACAGCCAGGAUGUUGGCUUAGAAGCAGCCAUCAUUUAAAGAAAGCGUAAUAGCUCACUGGUCGAGUCGGCCUGCGCGGAAGAUGUAACGGGGCUAAACCAUGCACCGAAGCUGCGGCAGCGACACUAUGUGUUGUUGGGUAGGGGAGCGUUCUGUAAGCCGUUGAAGGUGUGCUGUGAGGCAUGCUGGAGGUAUCAGAAGUGCGAAUGCUGACAUAAGUAACGAUAAAGCGGGUGAAAAGCCCGCUCGCCGGAAGACCAAGGGUUCCUGUCCAACGUUAAUCGGGGCAGGGUGAGUCGACCCCUAAGGCGAGGCCGAAAGGCGUAGUCGAUGGGAAACAGGUUAAUAUUCCUGUACUUGGUGUUACUGCGAAGGGGGGACGGAGAAGGCUAUGUCAGCCGGGCGACGGUUGUCCCGGUUUAAGCAUGUAGGCGGAGGUUCCAGGUAAAUCCGGUACCUUUUAACGCUGAGGUGUGAUGACGAGGCACUACGGUGCUGAAGUGAUAAAUGCCCUGCUUCCAGGAAAAGCCUCUAAGCAUCAGGUAACACGAAAUCGUACCCCAAACCGACACAGGUGGUCAGGUAGAGAAUACCAAGGCGCUUGAGAGAACUCGGGUGAAGGAACUAGGCAAAAUGGUGCCGUAACUUCGGGAGAAGGCACGCUGAUAUGUAGGUGAAGUCCCUGCGGACGGAGCUGAAAUCAGUCGAAGAUACCAGCUGGCUGCAACUGUUUAUUAAAAACACAGCACUGUGCAAACACGAAAGUGGACGUAUACGGUGUGACGCCUGCCCGGUGCCGGAAGGUUAAUUGAUGGGGUUAGCGGCAACGCGAAGCUCUUGAUCGAAGCCCCGGUAAACGGCGGCCGUAACUAUAACGGUCCUAAGGUAGCGAAAUUCCUUGUCGGGUAAGUUCCGACCUGCACGAAUGGCGUAAUGAUGGCCAGGCUGUCUCCACCCGAGACUCAGUGAAAUUGAACUCGCUGUGAAGAUGCAGUGUACCCGCGGCAAGACGGAAAGACCCCGUGAACCUUUACUAUAGCUUGACACUGAACACUGGUCCUUGAUGUGUAGGAUAGGUGGGAGGCUUUGAAGCGUGGACGCCAGUCUGCGUGGAGCCGCCCUUGAAAUACCACCCUUUAAUGGCUGGUGUUCUAACGUAGACCCGUGAUCCGGGUUGCGGACAGUGUCUGGUGGGUAGUUUGACUGGGGCGGUCUCCUCCCAAAGAGUAACGGAGGAGCACGAAGGUUGGCUAAUCCUGGUCGGACAUCAGGAGGUUAGUGCAAUGGCAUAAGCCAGCUUGACUGCGAGCGUGACGGCGCGAGCAGGUGCGAAAGCAGGUCAUAGUGAUCCGGUGGUUCUGAAUGGAAGGGCCAUCGCUCAACGGAUAAAAGGUACUCCGGGGAUAACAGGCUGAUACCGCCCAAGAGUUCAUAUCGACGGCGGUGUUUGGCACCUCGAUGUCGGCUCAUCACAUCCUGGGGCUGAAGUAGGUCCCAAGGGUAUGGCUGUUCGCCAUUUAAAGUGGUACGCGAGCUGGGUUUAGAACGUCGUGAGACAGUUCGGUCCCUAUCUGCCGUGGGCGCUGGAGAAUUGAGGGGGGCUGCUCCUAGUACGAGAGGACCGGAGUGGACGCAUCACUGGUGUUCGGGUUGUCAUGCCAAUGGCACUGCCCGGUAGCUAAAUGCGGAAGAGAUAAGUGCUGAAAGCAUCUAAGCACGAAACUUGCCCCGAGAUGAGUUCUCCCUGAGACUUUAAGUCUCCUGAAGGAACGUUGAAGACGACGACGUUGAUAGGUCGGGUGUGUAAGCGCAGCGAUGCGUUGAGCUAACCGAUACUAAUGAACCGUGAGGCUUAACCUU
rnacentral:rRNA from 2 species